GGUGGCUCAAUGGUAGAGUGCUUGCCUUGCAUGCAUGAGGCCCUGGGUUCGAUUCCUCAGUACCA
rfam:Dipodomys ordii contig_43273, whole genome shotgun sequence.